rnacentral:rRNA from 1 species
GGUGAACGCUGGCGGCGUGCUUAAGACACGCAAGUCGAACGGCAGUCUUCGGACUGUAGUGGCGCACGGGUGAGUAACGCGUAACUGACCUACCCCAAAGUCGCGGAUAACGAUUCGAAAGAAUCGCUAAUACGUGAUGUGCUGUCAGAUUGUGUUCUGCCAGUAAAGAUUGAUUGCUUUGGGAUGGGGUUGCGUUCCAUCAGCUAGUUGGUGGGGUAAAGGCCCACCAAGGCGACGACGGAUAGCCGGCCUGAGAGGGUGGCCGGCCACAGGGGCACUGAGACACGGGUCCCACUCCUACGGGAGGCAGCGGUUAGGAAUCUUCCACAAUGGGCGAAAGCCUGAUGGAGCGACGCCGCGUGAGGGAUGAAGGUCUUCGGAUCGUAAACCUCUGAAUCAGGGACGAAAGACACUUCGGUGGGAUGACGGUACCUGAGUAAUAGCACCGGCUAACUCCGUGCCAGCAGCCGCUGUAACAC